CUAUGAACAUGGAUCAUAAAGUACAUGCUUUUUAAAAUAAAGAAGUUAAGUUUAAAAAAAACUAAUACGAUCACAAGUUCACACCAGAAUUUCAUUUAUGUACGAUCACAUAACUUGAAAGUUAAUCGUUUGUUUUCUUGGCCCUACCCUUAGAACAUUGAAAGGCGAGAAUUAGUAAACAACAACUUUGUUUGAGUCCAACAUGUGCACAGGGGCAAGAGGGGUGUUUUAUUUACAAACAUAUGUGUCGAUUCUCUGUUGUCAAGUCGACACAAAUUUCCAACGGAGGAAAUUUUUAGCUAUAUUUUAACAAACAUUAUAACGUUAAUUUAACUUAUUUCUGUUAUAUUUUAUAGGAAAAUUUAAAAUAAAAAGUAUAAAUACUACAAUUAACCUAUUUUAAGAAUAAAUAUAAUAUCCUUAAGCAAAAAAAAAACAAAAUUAUUAACAUUCUUAUCCCUAAAACUCCUUCUAAAAAAUUUGAAGCGACAACACCGGAGCUUAAGCGCCUAAACCAUACGCGUUGUGUCAUCUGUCAAACGGCUUUUUGUUUAUAUUCGGGAUUCGUGUAUUUUCUUUAAUUUUUGGUUUAAAAAGGAAAAAAGGCCACGUUUUAGUGUUUUUUUAAAUUGCUAGGAUGGCAAAAACUUGUGUCGUUUGUGCCGCAUCAUGAUAAAAACGUGAUUCAAGCCGAUCUUUUCACAAGUAAGUACCGAUACUUUCAUAACAUCACAUCAUGGGGUAACCAUCAUCAUAAACGUAGAAUAGGGGAUCUUAUAGAUAUAAACCUAAUAAAAAUUUGAAUGUGAAAGUGUGCGUAAAAUACCAACAUAUUUAUAUUUUUAAAUCUAAAUAUUUUUUUGAACAUAUUCAUCUAUUAAUAGGCUAUAAAAGAUAUAAAACUAGAAUUUUGUCCCUGGUUUUAUUACAGGAUUUUAUGUUUUUUUUGUUGUUUUGGCAGAAAAAAAUUAUAAUACCUAUGUACCUAUCUAUAUAUACAUAGUUUGAUAUCUAUGUAUAAAGUUAAUUUUGUCUUUCUUUAAAAUUUGUUCCAUAAUUUUUUUUUGUUUUACCUUAUUGCAACUUACAAUAAUAUAUAUAGUAAUUGGCACCACAUAUUAAUUUAUUACUGUAAUUUUUUUCUGCUUUUUGAUUAAAUAUCAAAUACUUAUUAUAGAUUGCCCAAUGAUUAUGCCCAAAGGGAACAAUGGGUUUCAUUAAUGGAAAUCAACACAUUUAAAAAGAACAUAUUUGUUUGUUCAGAUCACAUCCUUAGAAGUGAUAUAAGGGAGAUAAUAUUAUCAGUAGCCAGACUUUAUUAAAAAAAUCAGCUCUACCUCAAAGGUAAUUUUUUUAAAUAUAUUUUUCUAGUAUAUUUAUAGGUAUGAGUAUAUUUUACCUUAGAAUUAUUGAUAAAGGUUUGCAUGCUUUUAUUUACUACAUUAUGUAAGCUAAAAAAACAACCUUUUAAAACUUGUGCUUGGGCUAUGUUGUAAAACAUACAGCUUCUUCACAAAAAGUAUUAGUGUUACUCAUAUAAGAUUUAUUUAUACCUAAUACUUAUUAAAUUAGGUAUGUGUGUAAAACUAUUUUUUUACUAGGAUUUCUGAUGCACUGGUUAAAAACACAGCAGCCAAUAAUUCAGUUAAUUUACCAAGUGAUUUACCCUUCAAAGCUACAGGGGUAGCUUUCCUGAAGAGUGCAAAAACUUCUUUAGCUUUCAAAAUGGUAUAUAGUACAAACAGUGAAGCUAAUAUAGACACAUCUGAUCAUUCAUCAUCAACAAUAACUGCAUCUGAGAAUUAUAGUUCUACAGUAACCGUGGAGUUUAGGUCAACAAUUACUAUUUCUCAUCCAAGCCGUUUUUGUUUAACUGCUACACAUUCCCUGACUCUGCCAAGGAAAAGGGUAAAAUCAAAAUGAUAUCCUGAGGACCUAAGCACUGAUGAUUCCACCGUUUCAAGAGCUUAAUCACUUGUCACCAGAUUAUGGAAAAAAAAUAAAGAACAAAAAAUUAAAAUUCGAAGAUUGCAACAAGCAAAUUUGCGCCAAAGAAAUUGAAUUAGAUGUCUCAAGUCAUUAUUAAAAUACUUACAUGAAAUAAUAACAUGAUUUUAUGGAAAAGCCCAACAUACUACAUAUUUUAUUUGACUUGUAAAAGCACUUGUUUGUAUAUUACUACUAAUAAACUCUCUAAUCUAAUCUAUUGUA